rnacentral:rRNA from 1 species
AUGCAGUCUAACGGGCUCUUCGGAGCAAGUGGCGGACGGGUGAGUAACGCGUGAGAAUGUGCCUUGAGGAUGGGGAUAACAAUAGGAAACUAAUGCUAAGACCCAAUGUGCCUUAAGUGGUGAAAAAUGAAAAUUGCCUGAAGAGGAGCUCGCGUCUGAUUAGCUAGUUGGGGUGGUAAAAGCGCACCAAGGCGACGAUCAGUAGCUGGUCUGAGAGGAUGAGCAGCCACACUGGGACUGAGACACGGCCCAGACUCCUACGGGAGGCAGCAGUGGGGAAUUUUCCGCAAUGGGCGAAAGCCUGACGGAGCAAUACCGCGUGAGGGAGGAAGGCUCUUGGGUUGUAAACCUCAAAACUUAGGGAAGAAAAAAAUGACGGUACCUAAUUUAAGCAUCGGCUAACUCCGUG